CUUCGGAGGAGUUAGCGAAAUUCCAAUGUGUGCGGAUCGGCAAAAAAUGCGAAAUAACCCUUUAACCGUACAUUUGACAGAUACGCCCACACUGACUUUUUUGUAGAUCUUAUUGAGAUACAUGUGUGUGUCAAUUUAUGUGUCAUUUUGACAAAGCGUACCGGCGUGACAGUGAAUAGUGUGAAUUUUCACCUUAGGGGGCGCUAUGGAGCCAUUUUGCAUUUUCUUGUUUGGGCGACUUCGGAAUAUCAAAUUUUUCACCAGGCCUGGUCGUCCUGCCAAAUUUCAUGAGUUUUCGCCAGUGGGAAGUGGGCCAUUUUCCAGUUCAAAGGGGAGGAAAAAUAAUAAUAAUAAUAACAAAAGAAGGAAACUACAGGAACAAGAGGGCUCUCGCAGCUGCUUAGCAGCUACGCUCGGGCCCUAACUAGGACCCCGUUGGGGCACUGGCGGGCCCGAGCCGUGUCGCCCCCCCCCCCCCCCAACGUGCUGCCUCCCCGUCCCACUUGUGUCCUCUGGCCAUCGCCCUCUCUGGUAACGCCCAUCACUGCAAAGACCCUUUUCCUUCAUCGGCGUUUGCUGUUCUUCCUGCCAGUGCGUGUUGCUUUCACUUACACUUGCCACAGCCAGCCUCGUGAGUGCCUAGCCUAUUCGAUAUCACUGUCACCUUCACAGGACAGUUAUUACCUUUCUAUUAAUACUUUGUGUUUUAAUUUCACAUUAAUUUCCAUAUUGUAUAAACGACUGGAAAAAACUUGAGCCCCUGCCCCUGUAUAAUCAUGUGCAUGUCUCUGUUCUAGCUCCAAGGUGAAUCUUCACUGCUCAUGUUCUCCUCAGAAGCACUCACCUCACUCCCCUCAGGUUACUGUACACAUGCACCAACUGCCUGCUUCAGGUUUGGAUGGAGCUUCAUGGUUGUCUUUUGGAGAAAUGACCAGUCAAGUUGUGUUUGAAAUUUGAUUUUUUUCAGGGGCAAAAGGAGCCUCUGCAUUCUUGUCAAAUAUGUAAAUAGCAUGUUUUUGCAGGUGCUAAAAACCAGACUCUGAGUGUGUGUGUGUGUGUGUGUGUGUGUGUGUGUGUGUGUGUGUGUGUGUGUGCGUGUGUGUGUGUCUGUGUGUGCGUUCAAGUCACAUGACAUAUUUAACCGGAUGUAGCUGCAAGACGGAGCCUCGUUGACUCUCCGUUUCAACUUAUCUCAAAAGUGAGGACCUCAACCUAUAUACCAGUUUUUAAAUUGUGUUGAUAGGCCAAAUAAAACCAGAGUUAUGAUAAAUUAUGUCCGCGAUACUUUUUUUCUGCUUAUUUUGAUCACGUUCGGCGCUCGAUCGCGCUGUAUGAGACAGGAAAACAUAGCAUGCAGACAUUAGCGACAGGUCUUACAGGCGGAAAAGGCUUGCCAAAAGAAAAAAAACAACACACCACAACAUCUCUCCUAUUGGUGGAAAACUUCACCACAACAACCAAUCCAAAAUUAUAUGGUGACUGAUUGACAAGGGGCGGGCGCUUACGUUCUUCCUGCAAUAUGAGAAGGGAGGGAGGGACUCUCAGCAGGGAUGCAGUCUGGGACACGUAGUUGCAAACCUAGCGACUUUGUUGUUAGAUUCAAUGACUUUUCAGACCCCCAACGACUUUUUUUUUAGAAAGAAAGGGAAUUUUAUCGACUUCUUCUGGAGUUUAGAGACUCUGACAUGAAGCAGGCUUUCCUUACUGAGGAGUUGGCAACGCUGCUAAGGGUGCAGAGCCACACAUGCGCUCCGAGCUCUGCUUGGGAGACUGAAGCUGACAGAGCUGCAGCAGUUAGCAGGUUUCACCCUCAGAGACCACCAGGGGUUCAUGUUGAGGCAUUUUCAGUUUUUUUUUUUUUUUUGCCAUAGACACUGUCAGCACAAUCUGCAGUUACACUAACAAAAAUGCUGCAAAAAACAAAGAAUUAUGGAAAAAUUACACAUGGACUGACAUAGAGGAGGAUCUACACAAGUUUUUUACAUCAUGUUUUACAUCAUGCAUCAUUUACAUCAUGUUUUUUUGUAGUGGCAUAAAUAAAAAGUGACAUUUGUGAGACUAUACAGUGUUUUGUAAAUAAUUUUACAAAGAACGCCUGGGCCAUUGCCUGCAUUUUGAUGUAAAUAGGGGUAAAUUACUAUGUUCUUUGUUAAAAAUUUGCAUAUGUUUUGAAGUUUACAAUUUUUAUUUGAAGUUUAAGUUUUAAAAACAGUUCAUCACACAUAUUUGUGGUUUUCAGAGUAAAAAUGUUACUUUUUUCCACUCGGAUUUUAUGUUUUGUGUGUGAAUUUGGGUCCAUUGUGUAAAUACAGUAUGUCAAAAUGAUAAAAUAACUGUAAAUUCACACAGGUGAGUUUGUGCUGAAAAAAAUGAUACCAGGCAAGGCAAGGUAAAAAUUUUGUAAGAGGGAAUAUAAAGGUAAAAUCUAAAGUAGUCAAAAACGGCCAAUAGUGACUCACAGACUCCACAGACAAGUCCCUUUGGCGCCACUCAGUGGGCAAAACUACUUUGUCUACUGUAAUGUAUAUUUGGGUCAUCUUUGGCGCCCCCUAGAACGUAAACCGUGGGGUGCAGCGUCAUGAUUUGUACAACUUUGAAUGGCCAUGGGGUGUAGAUUGACCUGACCAAAUUUGAAGCCGAUGGGACAAAAGCUUUAGGAGGAGUUAGCCACAUUCCAAUGUGUGCGAAUCGGCAAAAAAUGCGAAAUAGCCCUUUAACCGUACAUUGAACAGAUACGCUCGCAUUGACUUUUUCGUAGAUCUUAUUGAGAUACAUGUGUGUGUCAAAUUUUGUGUCAUUUUGACAAAGCGUAAAGGCGUGACAGUCAACAAUGUGUAUUUUCGCCUUAGGAGACAAGAAAAAAUGGACUUUUUUCUCCUGCCAUGGGGGGGCGCUCUUUUGGCGAGUAAAAAUUCCUUCACAAAUGUGUUGAUGGCUGGACAUUGCAUCAUCCUAGAAAACUUGGAGGCCAGUGAGGGCAAAAAUAAAAAGUUAUAAGACUUUUAAAUAUGUGGAUCUUAGGGUUAUCUUUGGCGCCCCCUAGAACCUAAACCGUGGGGUGCAGCGUCAUGAUUUGAAUAACUUUUAAUGGCCAUGGGGUGUAGAUUGGCCUGAGCAAAUGUGGUGCCGGUGGAACGAAAGCCUUCGGAGGAGUUAGCGAAAUUCCAAUGUGUGCGGAUCGGCAAAAAAUGCGAAAUAACCCUUUAACCGUACAUUUGACAGAUACGCCCGCACUGACUUUUUUGUAGAUCUUAUUGAGAUACAUGUGUGUGUCAAUUUUUGUGUCAUUUUGACAAAGCGUACCGGCGUGACAGUGAAUAGUGUGAAUUUUCACCUUAGGGGGCGCUAUGGAGCCAUUUUGCAUUUUCUUGUUUGGGCGACUUCGGAAUAUCAAAUUUUUCACCAGGCCCGGUCGUCCUGCCAAAUUUCAUGAGUUUUCGCCAGUGGGAAGUGGGCCAUUUUCCAGUUCAAAGGGGAGGAAAAAUAAUAAUAAUAACAAAAGAAGGAAACUACAGGAACAAGAGGGCUCUCGCAGCUGCUUAGCAGCUACGCUCGGGCCCUAAUAAUAAUAACAAAGAAGGACUACAGGAACAAGAGGGCUCUCGCAGCUGCAGCAGCUACGGCGGGCCCUAAAGAAAGAAAGAAAGAAACAAAGAACUAGGACCCCGUUGGGGCACUGGCGGGCCCGAGCUGUGUCGCCCCCCCAACGCGCUGCCUCCCCGUCCCAUUUGUGUCCUCUGGCCAUCGCCCUCUCUAGUAACGCCCAUCACUGCAAAGACCCUUUUCCUUCAUCGGCGUUUGCUGUUCUUCCUGCCAGUGCGUGUUGCUUUCACUAACACUUGCCACAGCCGGCCUCGUGAGUGCCUAGCCUAUUCGAUAUCACUGUCACCUACACAGGACAGUCAUUACCUUUCUAUUAAUACUUUGUGUUUUAAUUUCACAUUAAUUUCCAUAUUGUAUAAACGACUGGAAAAAACUUGAGCCCCUGCCCCUGUAUAAUCAUGUGCAUGUCUCUGUUCUAGCUCCAAGGUGAAUCUUCACUGCUCAUGUUCUCCUCAGAAGCACUCACCUCACUCCCCUCAGGUUACUGUACACAUGCACCAACUGCCUGCUUCAGGUUUGGAUGGAGCUUCAUGGUUGUCUUUUGGAGAAAUGACCAGUCAAGUUGUGUUUGAAAUUUGAUUUUUUUCAGGGGCAAAAGGAGCCUCUGCAUUCUUGUCAAAUAUGUAAAUAGCAUGUUUUUGCAGGUGCUAAAAACCAGACUCUGAGUGUGUGUGUGUGUGUGUGUGUGUGUGUGUGUGUGUGUGUGUGUGUGCGUGUGUGUGUGUCUGUGUGUGCGUUCAAGUCACAUGACAUAUUUAACCGGAUGUAGCUGCAAGACGGAGCCUCGUUGACUCUCCGUUUCAACUUAUCUCAAAAGUGAGGACCUCAACCUAUAUACCAGUUUUUAAAUUGUGUUGAUAGGCCAAAUAAAACCAGAGUUAUGAUAAAUUAUGUCCGCGAUACUUUUUUCUGCUUAUUUUGAUCACGUUCGGCGCUCGAUCGCGCUGUAUGAGACAGGAAAACAUAGCAUGCAGACAUUAGCGACAGGUCUUACAGGCGGAAAAGGCUUGCCAAAGAAAAAAAAAACACACCACAACAUCUCUCCUAUUGGUGGAAAACUUCACCACAACAACCAAUCCAAAAUUAUAUGGUGACUGAUUGACAAGGGGCGGGCGCUUACGUUCUUCCUGCAACAUGAGAAGGGAGGGAGGGACUCUCAGCAGGGAUGCAGUCUGGGACACGUAGUUGCAAACCUAGCGACUUUGUUGUUAGAUUCAAUGACUUUUCAGACCCCCUAACGACUUUUUUUUAGAAAGAAAGGGACUUUUAUCGACUUCUUCUGGAGUUUAGAGACUCUGACAUGAAGCAGGCUUUCCUUACUGAGGAGUUAGCAACGCUGCUAAGGGUGCAGAGCCACACAUGCGCUCAGAGCUCUGCAUGGGAGACUGAAGCUGACAGAGCUGCAGCAGUUAGCAGGUUUCACCCUCAGAGACCACCAGGGGUUCAUGUUGAGGCAUUUUAGUUUUUUUUUUUUUGUGCCAUAGACACUGUCAGCACAAUCUGCAGUUACACUAACAAAAAUGCUGCAAAAAACAAAGAAUUAUGGAAAAAUUACACAUGGACUGACAUAGAGGAGGAUCUACACAAGUUUUUUACAUCAUGUUUUACAUCAUGCAUCAUUUACAUCAUGUUUUUUUGUAGUGGCAUAAAUAAAAAGUGACAUUUGUGAGACUAUACAGUGUUUUGUAAAUAAUUUUACAAAGAACGCCUGGGCCAUUGCCUGCAUUUUGAUGUAAAUAGAGGUAAAUCACUAUGUUCUUUGUUAAAAAUUUGCAUAUGUUUUGAAGUUCACAAUUUUUAUUUGAAGUUUAAGUUUUAAAAACAGUUCAUCACACAUAUUUGUGGUUUUCACAGUAAAAAUGUUACUUUUUUCCACUCGGAUUUUAUGUUUUGUGUGUGAAUUUGGGUCCAUUGUGUAAAUUCAGUAUGUCAACAUGAUAAAAUAACUGUAAAUUCGCACAGGUGAGGUUGUGCUGAAAAAAAAUGAUACCAGGCAAGGCACGUGAUUGUCAAAUUUUGUGUCAAUAUGACAAAGCGUAUAGGCGUGAAUCUCAACAAUAUGUAUUUUCACCUUAGGGGACAAGAAAAAAUGGACUUUUUUCUCCUGCCAUGGGGGGGGCGCUCUUUUGGGGAGUAAAAAUUCCUUCACAAAUGUGUUGAUGGCUGGACAUUGCAUCAUCCUAGAAAACUUGGAGGCCAGUGAGGACAAAAAUAAAAAGUUAUAAGACUUUUAAAUAUGUGGAUUUUAGGGUUGUCUUUGGCGCCCCCUAGAACCUAAACCGUGGGGUGCAGCGUCAUGAUUUGAAUAACUUUUAAUGGCCAUGGGGUGUAGAUUGGCCUGAGCAAAUUUGGUGCCGAUGGGACGAAAGCUUUAGGAGGAGUUAGCCACAAUCCAAUGUGUGCGAAUUGGCAAAAAAUGCGAAAUAGCCCUUUAACCGUACAUUUGACAGAUACGCGCGCAUUGACUUUUUCGUAGAUCUUAUUGAGUUACAUGUGUGUGUCAAUUUUUGUGUCAUUUUGACAAAGCGUAUAGGCGUGACACUCAACAAUGUGUAUUUUCACCUUAGGGGACAAGAAAAAAUGGACUUUUUUCUCCUGCCAUGGGGGGGCGCUCUUUUGGGGAGUAAAAAUUCCUUCACAAAUGUGUUGAUGGCUGGACAUUGCAUCAUCCUAGAAAACUUGGAGGCCAGUGAGGACAAAAAUAAAAAGUUAUAAGACUUUUAAAUAUGUGGAUUUUAGUGUUAUCUUUGGCGCCCCCUAGAACCUAAACCUUGGGGUGCAGCGUCAUGAUUUUGAUAACUUUUAAUGGCCACGGGGUGUAGAUUGGCCUGAGCAAAUGUGGUGCCGGUGGAACGAAAGCCUUCGGAGGAGUUAGCGAAAUUCCAAUGUGUGCGGAUCGGAAAAAAAUGCGAAAUAACCCUUUAACCGUACAUUUGACAGAUACGGCCGCACUGACUUUUUUGUAGAUCUUAUUGAGAUACAUAUGUGUGUCAAUUUUUGUGUCAAUAUGACAAAGCGUACAGGCGUGACAGUCAAUAGUGUGAAUUUCCACCUUAGGGGGCGCUAUGGAGCCAUUUUGCAUUUUAUUGUUUGGGCGACUUCAGAAUAUCGAAUUUUUCACCAGGCCCGGUCGUCCUGCCAAAUUUCAUGAGUUUUUGCCAGUGGGAAGUGGGCCAUUUUCCAGUUCAAAGGGGAGGAAAACGAAGAAAGAAAGAAAGAACUAGGGCCCAGUUGGGGCACUGGCGGGCCCGAGCCGUGUCGCGCCGCCCCCAACACGACCGCCUCUCCCUACCGAUCGCGUCACACUCAAGGUCCAAAGAUGGUGUGCGCACUUGUCUGUGGUCAUUUACAAUUAUAAUGAAUGGGAGGCGCAGUUUCUACCAAAACGCUCGCCGCAGACAAACUACAUGUCCUAUUUGAAAAGGACUGGACCAUGAGUGAGGGCACAAACACAGCUAGGAUAUAUCCAAAUGGCAAGUUGCUCCUCCUUUCGGUUUUGCCGAGAGAGCGAUGUGUUUGAGUCAUUGAGCGAUGGGCAGGAAAAACUUGACUUUUUCUCCUGCCAUGGGGGGCGCUCUUUUAGGGAGUAAAAAUUCCUUCACAAAUGUGUUGAUGGCUAGACAUUGCAUCAUCCUAGAAAACUUGGAGGCCAGUGAGGACAAAAAUAAAAAGUUAUAAGACUUUUAAGAAUGUGGAUUUUUGGGUUAUCUUUGGCGCCCCCUAGAACAUAAACCGUGGGGUGCAGCGUCAUGAUUUUUACAACUUUGAAUGGCCAUGGGGUGUAGAUUGGCCUGAGUAAAUUUGGUGUCAGUGGAACGAAAGAUUUAGGAGGAGUUAGCCACAUUCCAAUGUGUGCGGAUCGACCAAAAAUGCGAAAUAGCCCUUUAACCGUACAUUAUACAGAUACGCGGCCAUUGACUAUUUCGUAGACCUUAUUGAGAAACACGUGAUUGUCAAAGUUUGUUUCAAUAUGACAAAGCGUACAGGCGUGACACUCAAUAAUGUGAAUUUUCACCUUAGGGGGAAGAAAAACUGGACUUUUUUCUCCUGCCAUGGGGGGGCGCUCCUUUGGGGAGUAAAAAUUCCUUCACAAAUGUGUUGAUGGCUAGACAUUGCAUCAUCCUAGAAAACUUGGAGGCCAGUGAGGACAAAAAUAAAAAGUUAUACGACUUUUAAGAAUGUGGAUUUCUGGUUUAUCUUUGGCGCCCCCUAGAACGUAAACCGUGGGAUGCAGCGUCAUGAUUUGUACAACUUUUAAUGGCCAUGGGGUGUAGAUUGGCCUGAGCAAAUUUGGUGCCGGUGGAACGAAAGCCUUCGGAGGAGUUAGCGAAAUUCCAAUGUGUGCGGAUCGGCAAAAAAUGCGAAAUAGCCCUUUAACCGUACAUUUGACAGAUACGCCCGCACUGACUUUUUUGUAGAUCUUAUUGAGAUACACGUGUGUGUCAAAUUUUGUGUCAUUUUGACAAAGCGUACAGGCGUGACACUCAAUCAUGUGAAUUUUUCACCUUAGGGGGCGUUAUGGAGCCAUUUUGCAUUUGAUUUUUUGGGCGACUUCAGAAUAUCGAAUUUUUCACCAGGCCCGGUCGUCCUGCCAAAUUUCAUGACUUUUCACCAGUGGGAAGUGGGCCAUUUUCCAGUUCAAAGGGGCAGAAAAAUAACUAGGGCCCCGCUGGGGCACUGGCGGGCCCGAGCCGUGUCGUGCUGCCCCCAGCGCGACCCCCUCCCCCUCCCGAUCGAGUCACACUCAAGGUCCAAAGAUGGUGUGCGCACUUGUCUGUGGUCAUUUACCAUUAUAAUGAAUGGGAGGCGCAGUUUCUACCAAAACGCUCGCUGCAGACAAACUCCAUGUCCUUUUUGAAAAAAGUCUGGACCAUGAGUGAGGGCACAAACACAGCUUCAAUAUAUCCAAAUGGCAAGUUGCUCCUCCUUUCGGUUUUGCCGAGAGAGCGAUGCGUUUGAGCCAUUGGGCGAUGGGCAGGAAAAACUUAACUUUUUCUCCUGCCAUGGGGGGGCGCUCGUUUGGGGAGAAAAAAUUCUUUCACAAAUGUGUUGAUGGCUGAACAUUGCAUUAUCCUAGAAAACUUGGAGGCCAGUGAGGACAAAAACAAAAAGUUAUAAGACUUUUGAAAUUGUGGAUAUUUGGCGCCCCCUUGAACGUAAACCGUGGAGUGCAGCGUCAUGAUUUGUACAACUUUGAAUGGACAUGGGGUGUAGAUUGGCCUGAGCAAAUUUGGUGCCGAUGGGACGAAAGCUUUAGGAGGAGUUAGCCACAUUCCAAUGUGUGCGAAUC